UCCAUCAUGUUCCUUAAAUUUUGAUAUCUUAAAGCUUUGAAAAAGGUUGACACUUGAAGACAUGCCCAGUCUUUAAUAAUAGGGAACAGAGGAGGAGGAUGCCCACUGACCCAAGCUUGGUACAUUUCCAUCAUUUGUUGCCUUAGUCUCAAAUUCUCUUCCUUUAAACUCUCAUUUUCAUGACUCUUUGUUUGAUCCAUGAGGUCACUCUCUAUAUCCUUGUUGGACACAGCUAAACCUCAUUUAGAUUUGGUGUGAUGUGGAGGACCAACCAAAAUACUACAAACCAAC
rnacentral:lncRNA from 1 species